rnacentral:tRNA from 1 species
GCGAGAGUGGCGGAACUGGCAGACGCGCAGGUCUCAGAAGCCUGUGGGGUAACACCCGUGGGGGUUCAAGUCCCCCCUCUCGCA